GAGAAUCCCGCCAGCUCCCUAAACCCUAAUUCGCUCCUGGUACUCUUAAUUAGUGCCCUUUCCGUCGCAUUUUUUUUUCUUGGUCCUCCUCUGCGUUCAAAUUCUUCUUCCCUAAUCCAUGGCGAUGGCGACUACCGCCCUCUCGAAAUCGGAUCUCUCUACAAGGGCUUAGCUUCGGCUCUACUUGGGAUCAGGAAACCGAUCCCAACCUAACCCUAAUCCUUAUCCUACCCCUAACCAUCGAGUUUCAUAAACUCUAAACCUGUCUUAACUCCAAUGACGAUCAAUCGAGGAGAACGAACGAUAUUACUUUGAAAGUCUUCUAGUAUCAGAUAUGACGUCUUCAAUCUUCUAGGAGAGCUGGAGCUGUUACUGGACAUCAUGUUGCCAAUUGACUUGAUUCAGAUAUAGUCAUUGUGAAUGUUGUAUACUCAUCUUGAUGUGCUUAAUGUGUUCUCGUUUUCUAUUUAUCUAGAUAAGCCAACCGCCUCCCCAAAUACUCUGGUUACUGUAAAACCUGGCAACUACUGUCAAUUGAUUAUAAAAUGUGGACCUUUUUUGUCACAUUGGGUUUACAAGGGUGAAGACUUGGUUCUGAUUUUAGCAAUGGUCAACUUGAAUGAAUUUAGAUUUUCAUAAGUUCAUCCAUAGAAUAGUGGAACAU